AGAUGAUGUUAUAAAGUAAUGUUUGGUGUGAGAGUGAAGAGAAAAUAUUCUUUUCAUUUCUUCCCUGCCUCCCUCAUUUUUAUUUUACAGUAUUUGUUUUCUGAAGUGCAUUAGUAAUGGAAGAAUGGAGAGGAUAAUGAAAGUGAUUGGCGAAUUCGCCUCUUGCAUUCCCAAAUCGUCAGUCUCUCUCACUCACUCCAAUUUGCAGCGACUCAGAGGACAUUUCUUGUCUCAUUAAAGUGUGCAAAAGCAAAAGAAUGCAGCAUCAGCUGGAGCAAAAUUGUUUUGCUUUCCUGGCCCUUCUCUUAUACAGAUACAGCUGUUUUAACACGAGAGACACGUAGACCCAAGUCCGCAUGUGUCCCAUCUGAAAAAUAUUCUGAAACUAGUGAACGAUCGACCCAAGUCACUCAACCUAGCUGGUAUGCAUCACAAUUACAAUGAUCACCUUCAGAGUUCAGACCAACAUAGAAAAGAUUAAAUCAUAAAGUGUAUAUAUAUAUAUAUGGCUGUUAUAAGGGAAGGAUUAUUGCUGGUCCCCUUUGUGUUGGGGUCACGACAGCAACUUCUAUGUGUCAACUUUUAUUUGGGCAUUAUUCAAAUGUUAUGCGAGUGAAUUAAUUUUUAUAUAUAGCACCUUUGGCAUUAAUAUUAUAUGAUAUAUAUCACUCUUUUUUGCAUCA